AUUGAACGCUGGCGGCAGGCCUAACACAUGCAAGUCGAACGGUAACAGGAAGCAGCUUGCUGCUUUGCUUACGAGUGGCGGACGGGUGAGUAAUGUCUGGGAAACUGCCUGAUGGAGGGGGAUAACUACUGGAAACGGUAGCUAAUACCGCAUAACGUCGCAAGACCAAAGAGGGGGACCUUAGGGCCUCUUGCCAUCGGAUGUGCCCAGAUGGGAUUAGCUAGUAGGUGGGGUAACGGCUCACCUAGGCGACGAUCCCUAGCUGGUCUGAGAGGAUGACCAGCCACACUGGAACUGAGACACGGUCCAGACUCCUACGGGAGGCAGCAGUGGGGAAUAUUGCACAAUGGGCGCAAGCCUGAUGCAGCCAUGCCGCGUGUAUGAAGAAGGCCUUCGGGUUGUAAAGUACUUUCAGCGGGGAGGAAGGGAGUAAAGUUAAUACCUUUGCUCAUUGACGUUACCCGAAGAAGAAGCACCGGCUAACUCCGUG
rnacentral:rRNA from 1 species